AAGAAAGUGGCAGAGUGGUUCUGUGGCUGGCUUGAAACCAGUAUACGGGGGUUCGAUUCCCUCCUUUCUUG
rnacentral:tRNA from 1 species